rnacentral:rRNA from 1 species
CUACGGAACUCCUACGGGAGGCAGCAGUGGGGAAUUUUGGACAAUGGGGGCAACCCUGAUCCAGCAAUGCCGCGUGAGUGAAGAAGGCCUUAGGGUUGUAAAGCUCUUUUACCCGGGAUGAUAAUGACAGUACCGGGAGAAUAAGCUCCGGCUAACUCCGUGCCAGCAGCCGCGGUAAUACGGAGGGAGCUAGCGUUGUUCGGAAUUACUGGGCGUAAAGCGCACGUAGGCGGCUUUGUAAGUUAGAGGUGAAAGCCUGGAGCUCAACUCCAGAACUGCCUUUAAGACUGCAUCGCUUGAAUUCAGGAGAGGUGAGUGGAAUUCCGAGUGUAGAGGUGAAAUUCGUAGAUAUUCGGAAGAACACCAGUGGCGAAGGCGGCUCACUGGACCGUUGAUGACGCUGAGGUGCGAAAGCGUGGGGAGCAAACAGGAUUAGAUACCCGUGUAGUCCUCUUCGA